rnacentral:rRNA from 1 species
GAUGAACGCUGGCGGCGUGCCUAAUACAUGCAAGUCGAGCGAACAGACGAGGAGCUUGCUCCUCUGACGUUAGCGGCGGACGGGUGAGUAACACGUGGAUAACCUACCUAUAAGACUGGUAUCACUUCGGGAAACCGGCGCUAAUACCGGAUAAUAUAUUGAACCGCAUGGUUCAAUAGUGAAAGACGGUUUUGCUGUCUCUUCUAGAUGGAUCCGCGCCGCAUUAGCUAGUUGGUAAGGUCACGGGUUUUCAAGGGUACGAUGCGUAGGCGACUUGUGAGGGUGAUCGGCCACACUGGAGCUGAGACACGGUCAAGACGACUAAGGGAGGCAGCAGUAGGGAAUCUGCCGCAAUGGGCGGAAGCCUGACGGAGCGACGCGGCGUGAGUGAUGGAGGUCUUCGGAUCGUAAAACUCUGUUAUUAGGGAAGAACAAAUGUGUAAGUAACUAUGGACGUCUUGACGGUACCGGGUCAGAAAGCCACGGCUAACUACGUG